UUUUUACUCCCUCUGUCCAGAAAUACUUGUCGGGGGAAUAAAUGUAUCUAGAUGUAUUUUAGUAUUAGAUACAUCCGUUUUUAGUCAUUUCUAUGACAAGUAUUUCCGGACGGAGGGAGUAUAUC
rfam:Triticum aestivum genome assembly, contig: Triticum_aestivum_CS42_TGACv1_scaffold_329645_4BS